ACUUAAAUUGAAGAGUUUGAUCAUGGCUCAGAUUGAACGCUGGCGGCAGGCCUAACACAUGCAAGUCGAGCGGUAGCACAGAGAGCUUGCUCUCGGGUGACGAGCGGCGGACGGGUGAGUAAUGUCUGGGAAACUGCCUGAUGGAGGGGGAUAACUACUGGAAACGGUAGCUAAUACCGCAUAAUGUCGCAAGACCAAAGUGGGGGACCUUCGGGCCUCAUGCCAUCAGAUGUGCCCAGAUGGGAUUAGCUAGUAGGUGGGGUAAUGGCUCACCUAGGCGACGAUCCCUAGCUGGUCUGAGAGGAUGACCAGCCACACUGGAACUGAGACACGGUCCAGACUCCUACGGGAGGCAGCAGUGGGGAAUAUUGCACAAUGGGCGCAAGCCUGAUGCAGCCAUGCCGCGUGUGUGAAGAAGGCCUUCGGGUUGUAAAGCACUUUCAGCGGGGAGGAAGGCGUUAAGGUUAAUAACCUUGGCGAUUGACGUUACCCGCAGAAGAAGCACCGGCUAACUCCGUGCCAGCAGCCGCGGUAAUACGGAGGGUGCAAGCGUUAAUCGGAAUUACUGGGCGUAAAGCGCACGCAGGCGGUCUGUCAAGUCGGAUGUGAAAUCCCCGGGCUCAACCUGGGAACUGCAUUCGAAACUGGCAGGCUAGAGUCUUGUAGAGGGGGGUAGAAUUCCAGGUGUAGCGGUGAAAUGCGUAGAGAUCUGGAGGAAUACCGGUGGCGAAGGCGGCCCCCUGGACAAAGACUGACGCUCAGGUGCGAAAGCGUGGGGAGCAAACAGGAUUAGAUACCCUGGUAGUCCACGCCGUAAACGAUGUCGAUUUGGAGGUUGUGCCCUUGAGGCGUGGCUUCCGGAGCUAACGCGUUAAAUCGACCGCCUGGGGAGUACGGCCGCAAGGUUAAAACUCAAAUGAAUUGACGGGGGCCCGCACAAGCGGUGGAGCAUGUGGUUUAAUUCGAUGCAACGCGAAGAACCUUACCUGGUCUUGACAUCCACAGAACUUUCCAGAGAUGGAUUGGUGCCUUCGGGAACUGUGAGACAGGUGCUGCAUGGCUGUCGUCAGCUCGUGUUGUGAAAUGUUGGGUUAAGUCCCGCAACGAGCGCAACCCUUAUCCUUUGUUGCCAGCGGUUCGGCCGGGAACUCAAAGGAGACUGCCAGUGAUAAACUGGAGGAAGGUGGGGAUGACGUCAAGUCAUCAUGGCCCUUACGACCAGGGCUACACACGUGCUACAAUGGCAUAUACAAAGAGAAGCGACCUCGCGAGAGCAAGCGGACCUCAUAAAGUAUGUCGUAGUCCGGAUUGGAGUCUGCAACUCGACUCCAUGAAGUCGGAAUCGCUAGUAAUCGUAGAUCAGAAUGCUACGGUGAAUACGUUCCCGGGCCUUGUACACACCGCCCGUCACACCAUGGGAGUGGGUUGCAAAAGAAGUAGGUAGCUUAACCUUCGGGAGGGCGCUUACCACUUUGUGAUUCAUGACUGGGGUGAAGUCGUAACAAGGUAACCGUAGGGGAACCUGCGGUUGGAUCACCUCCUUACCUUAAAGAA
rnacentral:rRNA from 1 species